AUUGAACGCUGGCGGCAGGCCUAACACAUGCAAGUCGAACGAGUGGCGGACGGGUGCGUAAUGUCUGGGAAACUGCCUGAUGGAGGGGGCUAACUACUGGAAACGGUAGCUAAUACCGCAUACCAUCAGAUGUGCCCAUAUGGGAUUAGCUUGUUGGUGGGGUAACGGCUCACCAAGGCGACGAUCCCUAGCUGGUCUGAGAGGAUGACAAGCCACACUGGAAAUGAGACAAGGUCCAGACGCCUACGGGAGGAAGCAGUGGGGAAUAGUGCACAAUGGGCGAAAGCCGGAUGAAGCCAUGCGGCGUGUAUGAAGAAGGCCUUCGGGUUGUAAAGUACUUUCAGCGGGGAGGCGUUACCCGCAGAAGAAGCACCGGCUAACUCCGUGCCAGCAGCCGCGGUAAUUC
rnacentral:rRNA from 1 species